GGACAAUGAUGAUUUGUGUUAGGUCUCGUUCGUCGUAAUGUCUCUUCUGGGACUUGCCGACUAUCGUGAUAUAUCACCACCCAUAGUCUGAGUCC